UACAGAGGGUGCGAGCGUUAAUCGGAAUUACUGGGCGUAAAGCGCACGUAGGUGGCGACGUAAGUCGGGUGUGAAAGCCCCGGGCUCAACCUGGGAAUUGCAUUCGAGACUGCAUUGCUGGAGUACGGAAGAGGAAGGCGGAAUUCCCGGUGUAGCGGUGAAAUGCGUAGAUAUCGGGAGGAACAUCAGUGGCGAAGGCGGCCUUCUGGUCCAGUACUGACGCUGAGGCGCGAAAGCUAGGGGAGCAAACGGG
rnacentral:rRNA from 1 species